GGGGAAUUUUGGACAAUGGGCGAAAGCCUGAUCCAGCAAUGCCGCGUGCAGGAUGAAGGCCUUCGGGUUGUAAACUGCUUUUGUACGGAACGAAACGGUCCUUUCUAAUACAGAGGGCUAAUGACGGUACCGUAAGAAUAAGCACCGGCUAACUACGUGCCAGCAGCCGCGGUAAUACGUAGGGUGCAAGCGUUAAUCGGAAUUACUGGGCGUAAAGCGUGCGCAGGCGGUUAUGUAAGACAGUUGUGAAAUCCCCGGGCUCAACCUGGGAAUUGCAUCUGUGACUGCAUAGCUAGAGUACGGUAGAGGGGGAUGGAAUUCCGCGUGUAGCAGUGAAAUGCGUAGAUAUGCGGAGGAACACCGAUGGCGAAGGCAAUCCCCUGGACCUGUACUGACGCUCAUGCACGAAAGCGUGGGGAGCAAAC
rnacentral:rRNA from 1 species